CAGUGAACAGGAGUAGUUCAUCUAUGAGAACACACUAGAAACAAAUGACAUCUAGGAUCCAGAAAGGGCAGGUAAAAGUACUUAAUUCUGCCUGGGGGCUGUGUUGUAUACACUCAGAUAUAACCUCAUUCAGACCAAUCUGAAUCAAGUGGAGGAAAAAAAAUCCAUUUUUUUAAGGCUUAAAACUUGUACUUACUCGGAAGUUGCAAACUGGGAAAUGGUCUUAAUUCCUGCAUCUGUAAAAUGGAAAUAUUGAUCUAGCUGGUUCAGAGAUUUUGAAGCUGAAUCACAUUACAGGUCUCUGUCAAGCUACUAUGGAAAAACCAAUGGGAAAAGAAUCAGUCUAUUUGUGGUGAUCUGCAGGUUGCCCAAUGAGAGCUUUGACCUCUUCAGAGUCAACGUGGCAAGACAACAAAAAGCUGAAUGGUGUGAGAAUGUCUCAUAAGGAACACAUGACUGCCUCUUGGCUAUCAAGAAACCUCACUCUGCAGAACAUUAUGGUGAUGAUCACAACUACUGGAGAACACUGAUGACAGCUAUUUUCCAUUCAAUCAUUUGGAAAAAAAAGGACUCCUGACAAAUUGAUCACACAGUUCUGCCACUUACUAGUCUUCCCCCUGCAUGUUGAUGCCUAACUGGGAGGGACAUUUCCAGCCCCAUUUCCAGGUGUUGGAAGUCUUUGCUGAGGUCAGUGCAUUCAGCAAGAUUUGUGCAACCCCAAGACAUCAAAGAGAAAUAUCUUGCUAUCCCAGGAUGGACUAGGAGGCGUUGGCUUCUUGGAGUAGGAAGUAACCACAGUUGAAAAUUCUCUAAUAUACAUACAAAUGAGGUCAUAAAAAUUGGGGACAUUUAGAAAAUAUUCAGGAUGAAAUUGACAUGUUUAGCUCCAAAGAUUUCUACACCUGAAAAUUAUAUCAUGCUGAUGACACCAUGUGACAUAAAGCAAUAAAUAAAGGCGCUGAAGGACACUUGCCCUUGGUGGAGAGAUGCCAUCUCUUGUCAGUUAGGCAGUCAGCCAGCCUGUCAACAACAUUUAUUGAGUACCUAACGAGAGAAGGGCCAUGUGACGGAGAGGAGAUAUGGGCUCCGGCCUUGAGGGAAAUCCACAGAUUUGUGGCAACCCUGCAUUGAGCAAGUCUGUUGACUCUAUUUUUCCAAUAGCCUGUGUCACAUUUGAUUAAGAGCCCUGGCAAAGUGAAGAGGGUGACCUUAUGCCCAUGGGUGAGGGCGACCUGAGCGAGGGAGGAGGAGCUGAGAGAGGAGCACUGGCACUGGGAGUUAACCCAGCAGGGUGCAGAAGGAUCCCAUCCAACUGGAACUUGGAUUGCUGAGAAAUAACAGGUGCCUACAAUGAGAGAUGAAGUGAGAACAUUUUCUUACCUGGGACAGAUGCAGCUGGAUACUGAAUGAAGUCAGCCUAACUAUUGAAGUCCUCCCAUGGACCAAGUACUUCAAGCAUGUGUUCCUUUCCUGGCAGCCUGAAUACCAUUAAAUUCUCUAGAAUAGAUCCCUGCAUUUUGGGAUGUUAGGUGAGGAAUGGAGAAAUGUGGGCUAGCUGGUAGAAGCUCAAGUCCAAAGUACCCCUUCAAUCAUAUUGUAAAAAUAUAUG